AACGAACGCUGGCGGCAGGCUUAACACAUGCAAGUCGAACGAUAUUAAGGGGCUUGCUCCUUAAGAAAGUGGCGCACGGGUGCGUAACGCGUAUGCAACCUACCUUAAUCAGGGGGAUAGCCCGAAGAAAUUCGGAUUAACACCGCAUAAAAACACAGGAUAGCAUUAUCCAAUGUUCAAAUAUUUAUAGGAUUAAGAUGGGCAUGCGUGUCAUUAGCUAGUUGGCGGGGUAACGGCCCACCAAGGCGACGAUGACUAGGGGAUCUGAGAGGAUGACCCCCCACACUGGUACUGAGACACGGACCAGACUCCUACGGGAGGCAGCAGUAAGGAAUAUUGGUCAAUGGAGGCAACUCUGAACCAGCCAUGCCGCGUGCAGGAAGACUGCCCUAUGGGUUGUAAACUGCUUUUAUCCGGGAAUAAACCUUUCUACGUGUAGGAAGCUGAAUGUACCGGAAGAAUAAGGAUCGGCUAACUCCGUGCCAGCCGCCGCGGUAAAAC
rnacentral:rRNA from 1 species